rnacentral:lncRNA from 1 species
GUUUCUUCAUGAAUGUCCUCAGCCCCAUAGCACUCUCUGUGUCAAUGCCUCCUGAUUUAUUUAACUAGCUUUGUCCUGAGGAGCACUGGGGCUGUCUUGAAUCUUUCCCUCUGGGGACAGGAUGACAAUGAGCGCUGCUUACACACAUCACCUUGAAAACGUGCGCGUGGUCAGAGGCCUUUACAUUAUGAUAACGCAUCACCUUACCUGAUGUAAAAUGGAUUUCAAGUGGUCUAUGCACUGGGAUCCCUCCAGCUCUGGGGUUUGCAGAGUCAACCUACGGCUACGCAGCUGGGGUCUGGUCCUAAGCCUCCUGCAGCCUCCAGCUGAGCAAGGAGUAGGCCCAGGUGCUGAGGCUCUGUGGAGCUUCAUGUGGGGUCCAGUCAUCCCCAUCCUCUGACCACUGAUGAAACCUAGCCCAACAGCGCCAGCACACACUUACCUGCUGUCCUGCAUCCCCAGGCUUCCCGGGAAAUCCAUCCAGGCCUCGCUCUCCCUGGCAAAAGAAGGAAAAUGGAGAAAUAAAGAGCAGGUAAGUGACCAUAGGCAGUGGCCCAGCGCACAUCCCCGCAGUGACCAUCAUGGACAAGGAGGGCGGGGAGAAGGUGCCAAACACACACGAGUACGCACGCACGCGCGUGCGCACACACACACACACAUACACACACACAGCAGCCCUAGACAGGAUUUGCACUGGAGGACAAGGAACAUAGGUCAAAGGUCAGAACAACUGGAGUCAUCUCUCUGCUUUUUACUUUUCGAAUCUGUGGCCAAGAGAUGGCCACGUGGCUUCUGUGAGCCAUACAGUCUCUUCAUCUCACGGUUUUUCAUGGGGGUCAAACAAAGCCAUGAGUGAGUGGGGUCUGUAAUGCAGUUCAUAAAAUUGCAGGUGUAUUUUAUGCAUCAUUCAUUUGUCCAGGAAACAUAUGUGAACACGUACCAUGUCCUCAGUGCUCAACAUAGACGUCAGAGUGAACUGCUGGCUAGCGGUAAGCUGCCAUCUGCACAUUCAUCUGUUUACAGUCAGACAGAGCUGACUGUCUUACUAGCCGUGGGAUCGUGGGCAGUCAUUUCACCUCUCUGAGAGUGUUUUGAUUACUAUGGGGAUGAUAAUAACCCCUUCCUCAAAAGAUAUCUAUGACUCUCAAAAAAAAAAAAAA